CUCUUUCAUUUGGACCGUAAUUUAGUGUUUUAGAUACAAUUGUAUUAGAAAUGGCAGCUCUAGCUGCUACAAUUCCUCCGUGGAUCCCUGAAGACGACCUCUUAUUGAAGAACGCCGUUGAGGCAGGUGCUUCUUUGGAAGCACUUGCUAAAGGAGCGGUGAGAUUCUCGCGAAAAUUUACAGUCUCAGAAUUGCGUGAGAGGUGGUAUUCUCUCCUCUAUGACCCUGUUGUUUCAGAUGAAGCUUCUGCUCGCAUGUUGGAAUUUGAACUUUCUACCCCCAGUUCUAGAGUCAGC
rnacentral:misc_RNA from 1 species